rnacentral:rRNA from 1 species
AGCCAGACUCCUACGGGAGGCAGCAGUGGGGAAUAUUGCACAAUGGGGGAAACCCUGAUGCAGCGACGCCGCGUGAGUGAAGAAGUAUUUCGGUAUGUAAAGCUCUAUCAGCAGGGAAGAAGUUGACGGUACCUGAGUAAGAAGCCCCGGCUAACUACGUGCCAGCAGCCGCGGUAAUACGUAGGGGGCAAGCGUUAUCCGGAUUUACUGGGUGUAAAGGGAGCGUAGACGGCAGUGCAAGUCUGAAGUGAAAGCCCCGGGCUUAACCAUGGAACUGCUUUGGAAACUGUGCAGCUGGAGUGCAGGAGAGGUAAGCGGAAUUCCUAGUGUAGCGGUGAAAUGCGUAGAUAUUAGGAGGAACACCAGUGGCGAAGGCGGCUUACUGGACUGUAACUGACGUUGAGGCUCGAAAGCGUGGGGAGCAAACAGGAUUAGAUACCCUGGUAU